rnacentral:misc_RNA from 1 species
AACUUUUAGCAAUGGAUCUCUUGGUUCUCGCAUCGAUGAAGAACGCAGCGAAAUGCGAUAAGUAAUGUGAAUUGCAGAAUUCUGUGAAUCAUCGAAUCUUUGAACGCACCUUGCGCUGUUUGGUAUUCUGAGGAGCAUGCCUGUUCGAGUGUCAUGAAAAUCUGAAACCGUCAUCUUUAUUGAUGUCGGGCUUGGACUUGGACGUUGCUGGGCUGACGCUCGGCUCGUCUCAAAUGCAUUAGCUGACUCUCCCGACUUCAGUUUUCGGCGUGAUAAUCACAUCUACGUCGAUGCCGCGAGGCGCUGGACCGGGGAUCAAACGGCUUCUAACCGUCCUUCUGGACAAUUUUCAUCUCAUUUGGCCUCGAAUCAGGUAGGACUACCCGCUGAACUUAAGCAUAUCAAUAAGCGGAGGCU